rnacentral:misc_RNA from 1 species
AAGACUAUAGACCUGCGGAGUACCUGCGGAGGGAUCAUCAACAAAUCUAAAAUUUGGUGUGUGUGCUACUGCGGUUUAUUGCUCUGCACACACCCAUAAACCAAUGUGAAUUGCAGCUGCUAUUUAUUAUUAUUACACUUCUUUUGAGUAGUGUGUGGUGAUGAUGGUGGUUGUGUGGAUAGAUUUUUGGCUCUAGAGUCGAAAACCUGUAUUAACUCUAUAUUAUACUCUUCAAGUCUG